rnacentral:rRNA from 1 species
UGGGGAAUAUUGCACAAUGGGGGAAACCCUGAUGCAGCGACGCCGCGUGAGCGAAGAAGGUUUUCGAAUCGUAAAGCUCUGUCCUAUGGGAAGAUAAUGACGGUACCAUAGGAGGAAGCCCCGGCUAACUACGUGCCAGCAGCCGCGGUAAUACGUAGGGGGCAAGCGUUGUCCGGAAUCACUGGGCGUAAAGGGUUCGCAGGCUGAAAUGCAAGUCAGUUGUGAAAGGCAGAGGCUCAACCUCUGUAAGCAAUUGAAACUGUAUUUCUUGAGAUGUGGAGAGGCAAGUGGAAUUCCUAGUGUAGCGGUGAAAUGCGUAGAUAUUAGGAAGAAUACCGGUGGCGAAGGCGACUUGCUGGACACAAACUGACGCUGAGGAACGAAAGCGUGGGUAGCAAACAGG